GAGAAACUGGUGUGGAUGAUCUUAGUUGUUAUACAUGAUAACAGUAAACUGUAGCGGCUACAAAAUAUAUUAUGAGUAUUCAUUUGAUGAUUUUUUAUAAAAGCGAUCUUUUAAUUUUUACCCUAUUUAAAAUAUACAAUUUAUCUUCCUUCCUACCUAAGGGAGUACUCUGAUUGAUGCGUAUGAUAAUCACCUGGUGCUUCUGUGAAUCGAAUUUUUACAGUCUAUUAAACGCUGCCACGAGACAUUUUAAAAAUUAUUCUUAUUUAAUUUUAAUUAAAUAAACCAAUAGCACUCAGUUGACUCCGCCGCCGCCCUUUCCUUCGCCCAUAUGCCGGCCGUCGCCAAUCGCCUGAAUCUCACGACUGGCGUUCACCGCUUCCUCCUCCCUCUGUCUCUUCUCCGCUAAACACGUCGCCAUCCCGUAGCUGCACCUCCAUCCCCUCUCCUCUCCUCUCCUUCAGGAUGUAACAUCUCUUUUGAAUGAUAAUUUCUGCUGGCAUUUCCCUAUUAUCUAUAAACCAGUUAUAAUGUAGAGCUUAGCGAUCACUGAAUUUGAUGACGACGAUGUGAUAUUCUGCUUUGCUUGUGCUCCUCCACCUCUUCGUCAGAAAAGAAUAACAGAAAAGCUUCUACUGUGGUCUCUGAGUUAUUGACCGCCUUGAAUUCAGAUAGAAAGUGAGAAAAGGAAGAGAGAAAAAGAGUUGAAUGGCAGCCUGGGGCAUUCUAUCUUCCAUCAUCAAUGGCUAUUGGAGAAGCUACACAAUUUGGAAUCAUCGCCGUCCUUGUCUGCAGCAGAGAGCAAUUUAAAAUAAGAGAUGAGGGAGCUGGAAAAAACCAUGAAGAGAAUCCAAGCCAAAAUUGUCAAUCUAGAGCUAGAGGAGAAAUAUAAAAGUGAGUCAGAAAAAUUUUGGUUCAGUGAGCUCAAAGAGGUAGUAUAUGAUGCUCAAGACAUAGUGGAGGAGUAUGGAUAUGAGGAGUUGCAUUCCAAACUAAAGAUGGCAAAAGAAAGUAGCAACGAUAAAUGUAAGCAUAAAGUAAUCAACUACCCGAUCACCACUUCCUUAGAUACUUCAAUUCUGGAUGAAUUAGUAGAAAAAGUUAAGAAGAUGAGGAAGAGAUUUGACGAGAUCACUAAAGAUUAGGAAUCCCCUAUAGGAUCGGCUAAAAAAAUUAUAAAGAGAAAGGGUAGACAUUUAGCCAAGCCUCCAGAGACAGGACCUUUAUUGGCUGAAUCAGAUGUUUAUGGAAGAGAAGAGGAAAAGAAGAUUUUAGUUGAAUUUUUGGUGUCUGAGGAUUAUACUAAUAGUGCAGGAAAUGCAGUGUCAGUGCUUCCUAUAAUCGUCAUGGAGGGAAUUGGUAAAACCACUCUCGCAAAGCUUGUAUAUUAUGAUCAGAGGGUACAAAGCUAUUAUGAUUCAACAGCAUGGGUCGAUGUAGUUGAAUCUUUUCGUGAUCAGUUUAACACGAAAGAAUCUGGAAUCCUUCUUAACAGACAAAGUUAAUUACGAAGAACUAGAUGAGCUCCAACAUGCGCUACAACAAAAGCUGCAGGGGAAAAAGUUUUUACUGAUCAUAGAUGAUGUUUGGGAUGAUAAUUUUGCUCUUUGGGAGCAAGUAACUACUGUCGGUAAAAUCAUUGUAACUACUAGGAGUGAAUCAGUUGCUAAAGUAAUGGAGACACCCGGAUAUGGUUUGAAACUGAAUGUCUUGCCUUUUGAUGUAUGCUGGUCGCUGUUCAAGAGAAUUGCAUUUGAAGGAUGAGAUCCAAGCAUGCAUGACACUUUUGUAGAACUUGGUUUGAAGAUUGUAGAAAAAUGUAGAGGAUUGCUAUUGGCUGUGAAGGUGCUUGGGUAUGCUUUAAGGAAUAAAGACGAUGAAUAUAUGUGGAUGGA